GGUAAAGGCCUACCAUGGCGACGAUCUGUAGCUGAUCUGAGAGGAUGAUCAGCCACACCGGGACUGAGACACGGCCCGGACUCCUACGGGAGGCAGCAGUGGGGAAUAUUGGACAAUGGGGGCAACCCUGAUCCAGCCAUGCCGCGUGUGUGAAGAAGGCCUUUUGGUUGUAAAGCACUUUAAGCAGUGAAGAAGGCUCCAUGGUUAAUACCCAUGGACGAUGACAUUAGCUGCAGAAUAAGCACCGGCUAACUCUGUGCCAGCAGCCGCGGUAAUACAGAGGGUGCAAGCGUUAAUCGGAAUUACUGGGCGUAAAGCGAGCGUAGGUGGCUUGAUAAGUCAGAUGUGAAAUCCCCGGGCUUAACCUGGGAACUGCAUCUGAUACUGUUAGGCUAGAAUAGGUGAGAGGAGGGUAGAAUUCCAGGUGUAGCGGUGAAAUGCGUAGAGAUCUGGAGGAAUACCGAUGGCGAAGGCAGCCUUCUGGCAUCAUAUUGACACUGAGGUUCGAAAGCGUGGGUAGCAAACAGGAUUAGAUACCCUGGUAGUCCACGCCGUAAACGAUGUCUACUAGUCGUUGGGUCCCUUGAGGACUUAGUGACGCAGCUAACGCAAUAAGUAGACCGCCUGGGGAGUACGGCCGCAAGGCUGAAACUCAAAGGAAUUGACGGGGGCCCGCACAAGCGGUGCAGCAUGUGGUUUAAUUCGAAGCAACGCGAAGAACCUUACCUGGGCUUGACAUGUCGGUGG
rnacentral:rRNA from 1 species